rnacentral:rRNA from 1 species
CUAAGCGUACACGGUGGAUGCCCUGGCAGUCAGAGGCGAUGAAGGGCGUGCUAAUCUGCGAUAAGCGCCGGUAAGGUGAUAUGAACCGUUAUAACCGGCGAUACCCGAAUGGGGAAACCCAGUGUGACUCGUCACACUAUCAUUAACUGAAUCCAUAGGUUAAUGAGGCGAACCGGGGGAACUGAAACAUCUAAGUACCCCGAGGAAAAGAAAUCAACCGAGAUUCCCCCAGUAGCGGCGAGCGAACGGGGAG